rnacentral:rRNA from 1 species
AUUGAACGCUGGCGGCAGGCCUAACACAUGCAAGUCGAGCGAGCGGCGGACGGGUGAGUAAUGUAUGGGGAUCUGCCUGAUAGAGGGGGAUAACUACUGGAAACGGUGGCUAAUACCGCAUACUAUCGGAUGAACCCAUAUGGGAUUAGCUAGUAGGUGGGGUAAAGGCUCACCUAGGCGACGAUCCCUAGCUGGUCUGAGAGGAUGAUCAGCCACACUGGAACUGAGACACGGUCCAGAAUCCUACGGGAGGCAGCAGUGGGGAGUAUUGGACAAUGUGCGCAAACCUGAUGCAGCCAUGCCGCGUGUAUGAAGAAGGCCUUAGGGUUGUAAAGUACUUUCAGCGGGGAGGCGUUACCCUCUGAAGAAGCACCGGCUAACUCCGUGCCAGCAGCCGCGGUAAUUC